UUUCCUUUGGAUUCUCCGGUUUAUUCCCCCCAAUGCAAAGACAUGCUAUCAGGUAGACUGACUGGCACUAGGUGUGACACUGUACGAGUAUGGAUGAACUACUGUGAUACACUGAUAUAAAUCUUGGUCCUAGAUGAUUAUUAGUGUUGAAGUGACACCCCCGACCCCCUUGUGCAAAAAUGGGAAAAGGGGUUGAGGAUGAAUGGAUGGAUCUGUAUACGCAAGCAUGCCCAAUUGUACUAUAAGCUGACGUAUGGCUGUUACUUCGGAAGGGUGCUCUGGAAGGUCUCCAUUGUGAGAUGAUUAAUGGAAGAAGUUAACUGUGAGAGCUCUGACUGAACCAUUUCUGCUCACUGAUAUAAUGAUGGGAUCGAAUCUUGGAUAGCUGAAGAUGGAGUUACAUAUGUAGAAAUCGCCAUCAUGGUUGAAACAGAUUCUACUGUUGAAGUGGAAAACUAAAUUAAUUAUACAAAGAUAUUUUUGCAUUAUUAAAAUUUUUAUAAAUAAAUAAAUAAUUAUGAGUAAUGUAAUAGGGCAAAAGCUCUGCUAACGGUUAGAGUGAACUCUUGUAGUAGUAUCUUAUUUUUUUAAAUUACAGAAUGAAAACUCUUGGACUAAUACUAAUUUAACUGUAUCUAAAAUAAGCUUAGCCCAGAGAAAUCCUCCUAGUUGUUUAUUAUCAACUAUGUUAGAAAAAUGUUAAACCUGCAAACUUUUUCCCUUUAUUUAUUUAUUUAGAAUUGUUUCUUCUUUUAGGAUUUCGAGGUCCUUUGUGGUUUGUUGAGACCAAAACUGAUACUCCUUGUUUUUAGCUUCAUGUAGCAAUAAACAGUAGAUCUUUGUUGUGAAACUGA